CCUCAAGCUUGCUUGGGGUACUCGAGUGGCGAACGGGUGAGUAAUACGUGGGUAACCUGCCCUCUUCUUUGGGAUAAGCCCCGGAAACGGGGUCUAAUACCGGAUAUUCUGCUUCUGCCGCAUGGUGGGGGUUGGAAAGGUUUUUCGGUGGGGGAUGGGCCCGCGGCCUAUCAGCUUGUUGGUGGGGUGAUGGCCUACCAAGGCUUCGACGGGUAGCCGGCCUGAGAGGGUGACCGGCCACAUUGGGACUGAGAUACGGCCCAGACUCCUACGGGAGGCAGCAGUU
rnacentral:rRNA from 1 species